rnacentral:snRNA from 1 species
CUGCGCGCUAACCUAGAAC